UACGAAGGGGGCUAGCGUUGUUCGGAAUCACUGGGCGUAAAGGGCGCGUAGGCGGCCGAUCAAGUCGAACGUGAAAUCCCCUGGGCUCAACCCAGGAACUGCGUCCGAUACUGGUUGGCUUGAAUCCGGGAGAGGGACGUGGAAUUCCAGGUGUAGCGGUGAAAUGCGUAGAUAUCUGGAGGAAUACCGGUGGCGAAGGCGGCAUCCUGGACCAUUACUGACGCUGAGGCGCGAAAGCGUGGGGGAGCGAUCCGG
rnacentral:rRNA from 1 species